GUGGGUACAAGGAAUCUACUUUAUUCAGCACACUAACCUAAUUUCUGAGACAUGUUACAUACCUGAAACAUGUCUUAGAAAUUAGGGUUUUUUUUUUUCGGGUUGUGUGCUGAACAAAGUAGAUUCCUUGUACCCA
rnacentral:pre_miRNA from 1 species